AAAACUGGUUGCUGAAGAACAUGUCUCUAGGAGUGAGUGGGCUUACUCAGCUUGAUGGGGCCUGGACUGCCUGAACAAACAGGAAUGUAAAGCCUAAUAUGAAUGCUUGUGCUGCCUGGACCUACUUCUGUCUCUGCCUGUAUUAUUCCCAACUGCUUCAUAGCUGAACUUUAUCUUCCCUGAAAGCCUGGUCACAUGUGUCCCUGAGCCCCAGCAGCCCUGCACACUGCCUGGGAACAGGAGCCAUCCACGAAGUACAGGCAGAGGGAUGUUCUUAGCACUGACUUUGACUCCACGCUGGACUUUGGGCAAGAAGAGUGCUCAAGGAGGAACAGAAAUGGUGAGAGAUUGAAUGUGUAAAGCUCAUAACUUAAUGCUGGGCAGGCAGUUCAGGAAGGAAUAUAAUAUCAUGCAAGAAGUAACUUCAUAGAAAGAGCUUUACAAUCUCAUUCUGUAUCUGCUGCUGGCUUGCUGUAGCUGGCUACCUUCCCUAGAUAUGCCUCCACGUCACUGCUGUUAAAAGUGGAGAUAAUUCUUCUGUU
rnacentral:lncRNA from 1 species